rnacentral:rRNA from 1 species
UACGUAGGGUCCGAGCGUUGUCCGGAUUUAUUGGGCGUAAAGAGCUCGUAGGCGGUUCCGUAAGUCGGUUGUGAAAACUCGGGGCUCAACCCCGAGACGCCAUCCGAUACUGCGGUGACUUGAGUCUGGUAGGGGAACACGGAAUUCCUGGUGUAGCGGUGAAAUGCGCAGAUAUCAGGAGGAACACCGAUGGCGAAGGCAGUGUUCUGGGCCAGUACUGACGCUGAGGAGCGAAAGCGUGGGGAGCAAACAGG